AUAUAGUUUUUUUAAGGCUAGGUGGGGCUGUUAGGAGCUAUGGAGAGGAUAUUCUCCUAGUUCCAGAUGAGGACACUUGGCAAAAGGGGGAUAUUGGGUUUGUUGAGGGCAGCAGAUAUUCCCUGCAGGUGACACGUUUCGAAGAGGGAUUCCUUCUUCUUUUAGGCGGGUUAGUGGGCUGAAAAGCAUUGCUUCUUCUUUUAGGCGGGUAAGUGAGCUGAAAAGCAAGAGUAACCAGCAGGUGACGGGAGUAGUGGGUUUUCCUGGCCGUCGGGAGACUCUGGGAGGAAGAAAAAGGAAAAGUAGGAGAACCGGAAAAGAGGGAGGAGCUGGUACCUGAGAGAGGAAAACAGAGAGCUAGAAAGGAGCACCGGGAGAAAGAGAGGAGAAAGGAUUCAUCAGUCUGCAUUUUCCUGGAGGUAAGUUCUUCACUGUAACACCCCUGCUCCUUUUCAAAAAUGCCCCCAAGUGUUCCCUUUCACUCAUACCUCUCUGACUCUCUCCUUCAUUCUCCUCCUCCAUCGCUCUCCAUCCGAGACUACACAGUAGGAAAGAUGCUCCACUUUCAUUCGACAUCGUUCAUCGGAUCGAAGGCAUGCUUAUUCUUUCUAUUCAUCAUUUUGAGCUCUAUGUCAACAGCAGUUGCCACGGAUCAGCUCCAUUUUCGAUGGAAAUAUGAGAAGCAAGGAAACAUUCCUAUCAUUGCUAUCAUUGUAUUAAUUGUAAUAGUUAGUAUAUUUGUUUUAUGUUUUAUUAUAUAUAGGAUAUGUUUUAAAAAUAACAAAGAAAAUGAGAAUCAACCACAAAAUCAAGAUGAAGUAGGAAAUAUAGAACUCAACGGAGUUUAAAUAAAAUUAUUUCAUAUUUCUAUAUUUUCCAUUGAGGGUGAGUGUGAUUCUGAGUGUUGUAUAUAUUAUGAUGAAUUUAUAGACGAAUAUGAGAUUAUGAUUCUUUCCAUUUGCA